GUCGGAAGGAGCUCACCGCGGCCCACGCACGUCCGGGAAACGAGCCCGCGGCAAUUUCUUUAGUCGAGUGAGGUAACGCUUCAGGGUGACAGCCACACCUGAGGACCAGAGCCAUGUUGAGGAGCCAGAGCCUGUGACUUCUCCAUCUACACCCAGCUGGGGCCAGUCACCAUCCUCAGCAGCUGACAUCACAAGAAAGACUUGGGGACCUUGAGGAGUGCUCAAGGGAUCCUUGGGGCAGAAUGCUGAGGGCCCUCCUGUCUGGCCUAGGGUGGAGGGGAGGCAUUUGGGGCUGCACCUUCACCUCAUGGCGGCCUCAUCUGCCUCUGGCUAGGUUGUUGAAUGUCACAGAGCUGGUCAACCACUGGACAGCAGUCUUUGAGAAAAGGGGUAUCCCUGAGGCCCGGGAAUCCAGUGAGUACAUCGUGGCUCAUGUCCUUGGAGCCAAAACAUUUCAGAGCCUGAGGCCAGAACUUUGGACCCAGCCCCUGACACCUUGGCAGCUACAGUAUAUCCAGGAGCUGAGUAGCUACCGAUUGCAAAGGAUGCCUGUGCAGUACAUCCUUGGUGAGUGGGACUUUCAGGGGCUCAGUCUGAAGAUGGUGCCCCCAGUAUUCAUCCCUCGGUGGGAAACAGAGGAACUGGUUGAAUGGGUGCUGGAAGAGGUGACCCAAAGAUCCCGUGUGGUGAGAGCCCAAGGUGGCCCCCUCAUCCUGGAGGUGGGCUGUGGAUCAGGAGCCAUCUCCCUCAGCCUGCUGAGCAAGCUCCCCCAGAGCCAAGUCAUUGCUGUGGACAAGGGAGAAGCUGCCAUCUGCCUGGCCAAUGAGAAUGCUCACAGGCUUCAGUUGCAGGACAGGAUUCGGAUCAUCCCCCUCGAUGUGACCUUAGAGGACAGCUGGGCACAUCUUCUACCCUGGGGCCCCGUGGACCUGAUCGUCAGCAACCCUCCCUACGUCUUCCACCGGGACAUGGAGCAGCUGGCCCCUGAGAUCCUCAGCUAUGAAGACCCAGUAGCCCUGGAUGGUGGCGAGGAGGGCAUGGACAUCAUUUCCCACAUCCUGGCCCUGGCACCUCGACUCCUGAAGGACUCUGGAAGCAUCUUCUUAGAAGUGGACCCAAGACACCCAGAGCUCGUUGGCAGCUGGCUUCAGAGCCGGCCAGACCUGUUCCUCAAUCUCGUGACUGUGCGCCGGGAUUUCUGUGGGAGGCCCCGGUUCCUGCAUAUCCAGAGGUCUAGGCCACAGCGUGGUUGCCCUGCAGAUGCCUGGCCCGUGCUCCAGCCUGCCAGAGUGGCUGGCUGACACUUCUACCUGGAAUGCUACUUUAAGGGAGGGCCUGACCUGGUGGUGCAGUGGCCAGAGGCAGUGUGGUCCAGUGGGCAGCAUCCUCUGAUGGAGCCAGGAUGCUGGUUUCCAGGGCUGUGUCUUACAGUGGGACCUUGGCAGCUCCCUUCCCUGUGAGAAGUUGGCUCCAAGCCUGGGCCACUCCUCAACCAGUGAUGGCUUCCCUGAUGGUCUAACCCUCCUGGCCUCAGGCUCAUUACUGAGGAAGAACCUUGGCAAGCAUGUACCAGUGACAUUCUACCCCAUGCGUUUGGAACCUUUCUGUGUCUAUCUCAUCUCUGGGGUCCCAUAUGGAUCUAGCAUACUGCAAGCUCAGUGAAUGUCCACCAGUAAGCCUAUAGUAUGUGCAUUUUCUAGAAUGGAGCUGGAAUUUCCCAUGUGGCUCACAUCUGACCUGACAGCAGCUCUCACAUAUUCUGGGCAGCAGAGGGAGGAAGCUCUGAGGGCCUGGCCUCCCACCCAAGCCAGGCAGCUGUUUGGGUUGAGCCAUAGCCACUAGGAGGGCUCAAGUGCACCUAAUCUCUGCACAGUGGCCACGCCAGGAGUACAGGCUGUCCUUGGCGGCAGCAGGGGCGGGCACCAGGUUUCCUGGAGCUCUGGGCCCCAGCCAGAGUGUUGGCCAGAACAGCAGUCUGAUCCCCGCCUCAUGACCCCUCGGUUCUGGGACAGGCCGUCUGGGCAGGGAUUGAGACCGUCAAAGCAACCCUCCCCCUCCUGUGGUCAGCAGGAUGAUGGCCCCAAAGAUACCCACAUCUUAAUCCCCCAAACCUUUGAGUGUGUUACCUUACGUGGCAAAAGGAACUUUGCAGAUUUGAUUAAGUUAAGGAUCUUGAGAUGGAAUGAUUAUCCUGGAUUAUUCAGGUGGACUCAGUGUAAUCACAGGUGAAAAGGCGAGGAAAUGGAUUCUCCCCAAGAGCCUCAAGAAAGAAUGCCAUCUUUCCAACACCUUGAUUUUAACCUGGUAAAACUGAUUUUGGAUUUCUGACUUCCAGAACUGUAAGAUGAUAUAUUUGUGUUGUUUUAAAACACUGAAUUUGUGGUUGUUAUAGCAGCAAUUAGAAACUAAUACAGAUUUUGGUACCCAAAAUGAAGUGCUGCUCUAACAAGUACCUAAAAAUGGAAGUAGCUUUGCAAUUGAAAUUUAGAAAUGGGAAAAGACUGAAAAUUUUUGAGGUGCAUGAUAGAUUGCCUUGAAUGCUUUUCCUCUGAGCAGUGAGGUGGCCGGGGUGGGGGUUGUGAACCCUCUACAAUCUGGAGACCUGAGCUGCCCAGGCCCACUGUCCACCUGUCUAAGAAAGGGGCCCAGCGUGGGCCCCAGAGAGUCUGGUCCGGGCACUGGGAGUGGGUGGAGAAUGGGACUGAGACUGGGGAAGAGAGAGCAAAGCUGGCCUCCGUGGCCCAUAUCCAUUGGCAUGAGGACCACCUAUGCUCUCAGAGAUGAUCUCAGAGACUGGAUCUGAGCCUGUUCCUGGCUUCCAUGGAGUCAUGUGGUUGGCCCAGCAUGCCUUGAGUUUGUAAGGAUGAGCAGAGGGUGAGUAGGUACCAUGUCUGUGAAAUGAGUGCAGUAGCCCCUGACUCUAGGGGCAGAAAAGCAGCUCUGGCCAACACUCACCCCUCCAUGUAAGCCUUGGAGAUUCGGCUCCUUCCAGUCACCAGGCAGUGCCCAGCUCCUGCUAUAGGUGUGGGCUGGGCUGUGUGGCUGGAAUAGAAUUUAGUCAUUCCUGGGAUUCUCAGCCUCAUGGUCCCCAAAGCUGAAGUGGCUAAUUGGAACCCUCGACUCUGCCUGUCCACGCCUGGACCAGGACCUCACUCCAGAUGAGGGACACUCAGUGGCUCUGGAGGCACCAUCCCACCUGGCCAAGGUCUGGGGCUCCUGAAGCCACAGCCCCAACUCAGGAGCCACAUGGAGAGCUACUGGGGGGCCAGACAUGGGCUGACGUGCCUCAUGCUGGGUCUGAGACUGAGAAUCUGGGCGAUGGACAGUCUGGACACCUGAGUUCAAGGGUCAGCUUAAGUCCCCUGAUAUGCUUUGGAUGAAGCCAAGAAGGCCUGUUUGUAUUGGCAGGGGUAAAUUGUAGCAAGACACAUGUCCAAUCCCUGAUUCCCUCUCUCUUAAACAGAGAAGGAAGGGGCUUACUCAAGAUCAUAUAGCGCUUGCCUCCUGACUCCUGAUGCAGUGCCCUCAGCCCCCAUUGCUUCCAAGGGCCCUUGGUCAUUUAAUUGGAUGGCUUGUGCGGCUGUUUUAUAUGGCUCUUCAUGUAGCUCUGGGAUGCACAAAUUGUGGCUCAUAAAGUCCUCAGGGCCAAACGGCUGAUGUCAGCUCCAUUAGCCCAACUGCACCAAUGGGUGUGUGGACAGAUCUGGGUCCCAUCUGAAGCCUUGGUGGUAGUUGUGAGGAGAGUGGGAUUUCCCCCAAGUAAGCGGCUCCUGCUCUGAGGGAACUGGUGAUGCACCGCUGAAAGGACCUUUAGGCACCUUUGGCCUUGUAAUCAGGAAUCAGAUGUGUAGGAGCUUCAAAUUCUGGGACCACUCCACUUCCGAGACACACUCCCCUCAACCAUCCUAUAGGAAAAUGGUCAAGAAAGGCCAGUUUGACAGUUCACAUAGUAGGAGAGGCAAAGGGAGCUUACCUCAGCCUUGCUGGGAGCCCUAGACUGAGCUGGCCUCCACUUGGCCCCAGCCAUGGCUGAGGAUUCAAGGUGAGGUGGCUCAGACCAGCUCUGCCCCAGGGAAGGCAGGCCUGGCCUGGUGGCCCCUUUCCAGAGGCUGGGGUCUCUCCCAGAGACUCUGCCUCUCAGGGCUGGGGAUGCCACCAUAUUGCCCCUUGUACUGAAUCUGUAGCCCUCUCCUGGGACAUGAGUUUGGGGGAGUGGAAAGAUCAGAUCUCCCACCUUGCUGAGCCCAGGGAGCGGAUUGUUGGGGCUUGAGGCACCCACAAAGAUCCCUGUGUGUAGAUGAGAAUAUAAAGGCUCAGCAGGCCUGGGCUGGGGCUUGAACCCAAGUCUCUUCUUUGGCUCCCAGCCUCCAGCCUUUCAUCAGCUGCAGACCCCGACCCUGCCUUGCUUUCCAAGAGUGGUCCUGCCUGCCAGGAGAGGCAGCCAAGGCCCUUUGCCAUUCCUGGAAGUCAGUGUGAGGCCAAGCUGUGUGGGCAAGCAGAGUGAACCCCAAGCUAGAGCUGCCUGGGCCUUGCUUGCCCUUGGACCUUGCAGCUGAGCGAAGUAUCCAACCAGCGCUCCCUGGGCCUUCCUCCUCCAUCUCCUUGCCGUCAUUUCUUGAGCUCCUGCUGGGCAAUGGGCCCCAAGCAGCUGCUUUGCAUUUAUUAGUUUUAAUCAUGCUACCUCACACACUGGGUUUUUAAUCAUCUUCAUGAUGAGGAAACCAAGGCUCAGCAGGGUGCAGGUCACACAGCUGUACUGGAAGGGAGGCUGAGGCUGCUUUUGCUGCCCAUUUGACUGUCAGAGACACUGAGGUCAGCAUAGCUGGAUCCUGGGCUGCUCCCUUCAGGGCUCAAUGCAGUGGUCCUCCUGGGCUUAUGGAUCCUCGGAGCAGGAGCAGGGCUUGCCAGGGCUGAUCCCAGAGGGCUUUCUGGAAGCCCAGUGUUUACGCCUAUGGGCUCUUCUCCUGAGCUGUGUGCAACAUAGGCCCAGACCUCGGUCUUCCAAUCCCUACUGUGUGCCAGGCUCUGGGGAGAUGACAUCAAUCAGAAGAGCCUAUAAAAUAUGGAGAUUGAAUGGUGCACCCUGAACCAAGUGCUUCUGGGAUUAUCUCAUUCGCCCUCAAGAUAUCCCAUAAGGCAGAGUCUGUGAACCAUCCCAUCUUACAGACAAGGAAACGAACUGAAAAAGGUUAAGGAGCUUGCUCAUAUGCUGGCUGAACUGGGAUUCUGGCACAAGCAGAAUGACCCAGGACCUGGGCCUUUGCCAUCACACCAGGCUUGAAGAGGAUGAGGCACAGGACAGGGAUAGAGCAGGCAGAGAGGGCAGUCUAGGCAGAAGCCUGGAGGCCUGAAAUCAUGUGAACAGGGAUGUAUAGGGGCAAGGCAGUGAUGGUGGUGAAUGCCCUUGGAUGAGUUCUGAAUGCAUUUCUGGAUACCAGGGGCCUAAUUUAAGUUUCAGGGUAUCUGAAGAUCCAGAUGUUAACAUUUGGGGAUGUAGCCUGGAGGCAGCACUUUAGAUGGAGUUGAGAAGACCACCCUUCCAGGCCUGAGGGCUGUCAACCACAGUGACCAGGCAUCUCCAUGUGUAAUGGUGCCAUGUGCCACACAUACUUUGUCAUCAAUCCUGUCUGCAUGUCUUGGGCGCCUUCCUAGGCCCACUAGACAGAUGAAAAGACUGAGGCUUAGCCUGCCCAACAUCACACAAGCAGGAAGUGGCUGUGGUAGCAUUUGAGCCCAGUCCUCUGACAUCCCAGCUGGAAGGAGAGUGAGCAGGCCAACUGAGGCCAACUGCAGCUCAGGGCUCCAAUUCCCCGAGGGGCCCCAGUGCCAAGCUGGGGUGGCCCCAGGGCUGACGUGGGCUUCCAGGGCAAAGAGGAAAGUGGUGAGUCAAACAAAAAGCACCAGAUGUGGAGUGAGCUUUCCCCCCUCCCAGCUGCCCGGGUGCCAGACUUUCACACCCCACAGAAGAGGGGCCCACUGGGGAGGGGAGGGCAGUGAAAGUGGCUGCUACUGGAAGGAGGUUCCGAUGUACUCCGGAUGUGGGGUGGGACUGGCUGACUCCCAGACUCUGGUUCCCAGCUGACAGGUGAGUGAGGAAAGUGAGUCCGGUCUCUACAUAAGCGGGUAUAAAGCCUGCCGUAUCAUGGGAAGCACAGGUCCUCAGGUCUGGGUGGUUCCGGGAGGAGUGUGUGGAUGUGCCUAAAACCCUUCUUGAAGGCAUUCCACAGCUCAAGAACUGUCCAGAGCUCCCCACUGCCUGCCUGCAUGGAAACCCUGCCUCUUGCUCAUUCUGCCCAGCCCUCUUGCCCAGAUCCCUAGAGCUGUGGAGUUUGUUCUGUUAAACUAAAUUUCACAUGGAACUCAAAUAAUAUAUUUUUUUAAAGAUAAAGACAGCAUCUUAAACAUAAAUAUAUUUUAUAA